AAUAUUUAUUAACAUCCUAAGCCGCCCCAUAAUCAAGCCAAUGCUGAUAGGGACAAAGAAGGUGCCAUGUGCAGUUUUUCUCCAUGUCCCCACAAUAUCUGCUCUGAAUUUUAAAAGGCAAUUACUGGGGGAGAAGGAAGCCUAUAUAUUAUGUAGGAUCCAAGUCUCAAACUGCUUUCCUAGGGAGUGUGAGGUUCUUGGAGAUUAAGUGCAGUACCUUUCUGUCUUGAGCCUUGUAGGCUGCCCCUCUAAUUUAAUGCCAGUCUUGAAAUAAACAGAAUGCUUUCCAAGUCAUCGCUAAUUUUAACACUUUAAAUUUAGAAUUGCUUAGAAUUGACUCAACACUGCCUCCUUGCUGAAUGGAUAAUUCAAGCAAACAACUCAAGAGCUGGAUGCUGCCCAGACAGGUAGGCAGCCAGAUAAAGUGAGUGUCCAGGGAAAGAGCAGUAAGGGUCAGAAGAGAAAGAGCCUGGUGUUCUCACUGCCUCCUGCCUUCCUUAUGACUGUCUGUUCAGAAGUCCUCCUAGCAUCUUUCUUCUGCCUUCCCCUGCUCCUGUCCCUGAAACCUUUUCUUCAAAAGAAGUGGAAAAGAGGAACUGGGAACCCAUAUAGCAACAGCAUCACCUGGAAUGAAUUCCUUUAGAACAUACUGUCUUGGAAAUCUGAAGCCUGCAGGGCUGGACAGGCAAGAAGAGCAGUGAGCACUGCAUGAACCUUUCUCUCCUUCCCUCCCUUACGUAUGACUCCUCCCAUAAUCCGCACACAUGGAUUGAACCAAGUGAGGGUAUUUUUCUGUUUCCUACCUCAUAGAAGGGCAUAGAGUGGACACGGUCUAAGGUUAGUUCCUGAACUGAGUACCCACAUAUGCAGAACUUUAUUUAAAGCUGCUGAAAUCUUUGUAUAACAGAUAGAUCAAUAGGACUGAAAACUACUGAUGGUUUUACUUACUUGUUGAACGUGACUAAGUUCCAUGGCACCAUUUAGAAAUUGUGUUGUAUAGUUUUCGUAUGUUGCUUAAGAAACAGUUUAGCAUAAUGGUUAAAAGCAUGGCCUCUGGAACUAGAUUGCCUCUGUAUGCCUCAGUUUCCUCAUCUGGGAAUAAUAAUAGUUCUACCUCAUGGGAUUGCUAUGAGGAUUAAAUGAUUUAAUUUAAUUAAAUGAUUUCAUACAAAACUGAAUUGUACUUGACACUUAGUACUCAGGUAUUAACUGGGACCGUUAUUAUCAUCACAGAUGUUGUUUACAAGCACUUGCCUUUGAGAUUUGUUUAGCUUUUUUAUUAAAUUACUAGCGGUAUACUAGAACAGUACGUAGGCUGGGGCCUGGAGUCAAAUUCUAGCUUUGCCUCUUAUAGUUUUGAAACUUUGAGUAAAUUACUUGAUGUGUCUGAGUUUUAAUAUUCUUAUAUGUAAUUUACUUUUAAAAAGAAUUUUGCUUAGUGUUGAUAUACACACAUUUAACACAGUUAUAGAAAUUAUUGUUUUUACUAUUGUCAUAUGAGGAAAUUCGUCCCUGGGUUGCUGUAGGGUGCUAAUGGUUAGGCAAACUCUCUUUGAAGUCUGCCUGAUCUGGCCCCUUGCAGGCAUGUACUCCGAAAUAUUUUUCAAAUGGAAAAGAAAACAGAGAACACAAUUUUCAAAAUAUCUAGAGCCCUCCAAGAAGUCUUUGUAGAGAUCUAUAAAAUCUCAAGGCAAUUUAAAGGUAAUAAGACAACUUUAUUAAUAAUUAAUUAAAAUGUAAAUGUUAAUGAUAGCCCUUUGUAUAGCUAUAUUAUCUUUUUCUGAAGAAUAGAAAAAUGUUUUAGAAACACUAUUCUCUCCACAUCCUGGGGCAGCAGCCUUCUCCAAAGAAACAGAAAGAAGGAAAUGGAUUGCCUUAGCAAAAAAACAAAUGAAGACACUCCAAAUAACAGAAGAAUGGGAAGGCUACAGACCUUGAAGUCAGAAGAAAAUUUCCUCUCCUUGCCCCGUUUCUCCUUAAAUGGAUCACCAGUACAGUCUCUUACUUCUAGAGCCAUGUUAAGCUUUCUUCCCCAAAGUUGUAAUGUCCUUCUUUUGGUUGUGUCGUGUCCUAAAAUCCUACUCUUUGGUACAAGAUGAAGGUAUAUGAAGAGAUAAUGAAGGAAACAAAUUCAAUGUGUUUGCCAAGAACACAGUCUUUUAAAUAACUCUUAAAGGGUUCGUUUAAAACAGUGUAAUAAAUUGUGGUAAUCUAGUACACAAAGCUAGUAGGAACCUCGUUUAUUAAUAAUAUUUCAACAUUGAGCAGUAGAGGGCAGCACUAUCCUUCUUUUGCAAAAUGUUGAGCACUCUUGAGAAGGAAAAUAAAGGCAAAGCUCCUGA
rnacentral:lncRNA from 1 species